UUGCAAGAUGCCUCAGACAUCGUGCACGCAUCCUUCUGCCUCAAGCACUGUGAAAACUUGCAGAAAAUGUGGCUGCGGGUAGAAAGGGGAUGUUCCUGGAGAACGAUGCUGCAUGGGAACCAGAGGCUCAGGCUGACGGGUUCCGGAAUGAUCACUCCGUGCUUCCUUUCUGGAUGGAUCCUUUUUCCACGUUCGACUCAAACAAGAAUCUGGUGUUUCUGGACAUCAGUCAGAGCUUCCUGAGUUCCUCCUCAGUGAAACUGCUUUGUGAACAAAUAGCGUCUGCUACCCAUAAUCUUCCGAAAGUGGUGCUGGAGACUUGUUCUGCCACCACCCAGCCCUGGGCCCAUCUCUCCUCCUCCCUCAAGAUCAGCGAGUCCCUCCUGUGCCUGGACCCCACAGCCAGUGAGCGGCCAGACAAGAGUGCCAGGUUGCUGUGCACGACUCCAAGACACCAAGGUGCAGGCGCAGAGGCUGUCGUAAGUGCCGCCUCCCUUCCCGUUUUAGGUCUGGGGCCACACGGGGAAGAGCAGCGGGGGCACUGGACCUAUAGGAACC
rnacentral:lncRNA from 1 species